rnacentral:rRNA from 1 species
ACGACGCUGGCGGCGCGCCUAACACAUGCAAGUCGAACGGUGAAGAGGAGCUUGCUCCUCGGAUCAGUGGCGGACGGGUGAGUAACACGUGAGCAACCUGGCUCUAAGAGGGGGGACAACAGUUGGAAACGACUGCUAAUACCGCAUAACGUAUCGGGAUGGCAUCUUCCUGAUACCAAAGAUUUUUAUCGCUUAGAGAUGGGCUCGCGUCUGAUUAGAUAGUUGGCGGGGUAACGGCCCACCAAGUCGACGAUCAGUAGCCGGACUGAGAGGUUGAACGGCCACAUUGGGACUGAGACACGGCCCAGACUCCUACGGGAGGCAGCAGUGGGGGAUAUUGGACAAUGGGGGCAACCCUGAUCCAGCGACGCCGCGUGAGGGAAGAAGGUUUUCGGAUUGUAAACCUCUGUUGACGGAGAAAAAAUGAUGGUAUCCGUUUAGAAAGCCACGGCUAACUACGUG